GUGACCCUGAUCUGGUAAAGCUCCCAUCCUGCCCUGACUCUGUCAUGGGCACCAGGCUCCUCUGCUGGGCAGCCCUGUGCCUCCUGGGGGCAGAUCACACAGGUGCUGGAGUCUCCCAGACCCCCAGUAACAAGGUCACAGAGAAGGGAAAAGAUGUAGAGCUCAGGUGUGAUCCAAUUUCAGGUCAUACUGUCCUUUACUGGUACCGACAGAGCCUGGGGCAGGGCCCAGAGUUUCUGAUUUACUUCCAAGGCACGGGUGCAGCAGAUGACUCGGGGCUGCCCAAUGAUCGGUUCUCUGCAGUGAGGCCUGAGGGAUCCGUCUCUACUCUGAAGAUCCAGCGCACAGAACAGGGGGACUCAGCCGUGUAUCUCUGUGCCAGCAGCUUAACCACAGCAUGACACAAUCGCCUCCUUCCUUCUCAUAAACCUCUUCCUCUCUCUCCUUGCUUCCUUAUGAUACUAUUUUGCACCAGCGCAUCCUCAU